rnacentral:rRNA from 1 species
UACGGGGGGAGCAAGCGUUGUUCGGAUUUACUGGGCGUAAAGCGCGCGCAGGUGGUCUUUCAAGUCAGUGGUGAAAGCCCGGAGCUCAACUCCGGAAAUGCCAUUGAAACUGUGAGACUUGAGGACGAGAGAGGUGAGUGGAAUUCCCAGUGUAGAGGUGAAAUUCGUAGAUAUUGGGAAGAACACCGGUGGCGAAGGCGGCUCACUGGCUCGUAUCUGACGCUCAGGCGCGACAGCGUGGGGAUCAAACAGG